GGCUUUAUAUUCAAGAGUGAUAUUAGACUGCAAUUCUAAAGGUGUAAUUAAAGUUACUAAGGCCU
rnacentral:tRNA from 1 species